rnacentral:rRNA from 1 species
CAGCAGCCGCGGUAAUACGAAGGGGGCUAGCGUUGUUCGGAAUCACUGGGCGUAAAGGGUGCGCAGGCUGGUUCUUAAGUCAGGGGUGAAAUCCCGAGGCUCAACCUCGGAACGGCCUCUGAUACUGGCGACCUUGAGUAUGGGAGAGGUGAGUGGAACUCCGAGUGUAGAGGUGAAAUUCGUAGCUAUUCGGAAGAACACCAGUGGCGAAGGCGACUCACUGGCCCAUUACUGACGCUGAGGCUCGAAAGCGUGGGGAGCAAACAGGAUUAGAUACCCCUGUAGUCCCUGUCUCUUAUAC